UGUGCUCCAUGUCCUGCGUGCCC
rnacentral:misc_RNA from 1 species